rnacentral:rRNA from 1 species
UGAAUACGAGACGCUACGGCGUCGAAGCAGUCUAUGUCAUACUUCCAAGAAAAGCUCGCAAUGUCAUAAACAAAUAAUGCCUGUACCAUAACCGACACAGGUGGGUAGGUAGAGUAUACUAAGGGGCGCGAGAUAACUCUCUCUAAGGAACUCGGCAAAAUGACUCCGUAACUUCGGGAGAAGGAGUGCCUUAUUUAUAAGGUUGCAAUAACAAGAUCCAAGCAACUGUUUAUCAAAAACACAGGUCUCCGCUAAGUCGUAAGACGAUGUAUGGGGGCUGACGCCUGCCCAGUGCCAGAAGGUUAAAGAAGUUGGUUAGCAUUCGCGAAGCUGAUAACUGAAGCCCUGGUGAACGGCGGCCGUAACUAUAACGGUCCUAAGGUAGCGAAAUUCCUUGUCGGGUAAGUUCCGACCCGCACGAAAGGCGUAAUGAUUUGGAUACUGUCUCGGAGAGGGGCUCGGUGAAAUAGACUUGUCUGUGAAGAUGCGGACUACCUGCACCUGGACAGAAAGACCCUAUGAAGCUUUACUGUAACUUGAAAUUGAAAUUGGACUUUAUUUGCGCAGCAUAGGUGGGAGGCGUUGAGAGUAUUCUUGCGGGAAUAUUGGAGCCAUCAGUGAGAUACCACUCUUGUAAUGUUAGUUUUCUAACUUUGGAUCAUUAUCUGGUCAAAGAACAGUUUCAGGCGGGCAGUUUGACUGGGGCGGUCGCCUCCCAAAUGGUAACGGAGGCGUACAAAGGUUUCCUCUGAACGGGUAGAAAUCGUAUCUAGAGUGUAAAGGCAUAAGGAAGCUUGACUGUGAGACCUACAAGUCGAGCAGGGACGAAAGUCGGUCUUAGUGAUCUGACGGUGCUGAGUGGAAAGGCCGUCACUCAACGGAUAAAAGUUACUCUAGGAUAACAGGCUGAUCUCCCCCAAGAGUUCACAUCGACGGGGAGGUUUGGCACCUCGAUGUCGGCUCAUCGCAUCCUGGGGCGGUAGUACGUCCCAAGGGUUGGGCUGUUCGCCCAUGAAAGCGGUACGCGAGCUGGGUUCAGAACGUCGUGAGACAGUUCGGUCCAUAUCCGGUGUAGGCGUUAGAAUAUUGAGAGGAGCCUUCUUUAGUACGAGAGGACCGAGAAGGACAUACCUCUGGUGUACCAGUUAUCGUGCCAACGGUAAACGCUGGGUAGCUAUGUAUGGAGAGGAUAACCGCUGAAAGCAUCUAAGUGGGAAGCCCACCUCAAGAUAAG